UCUCAAUGAGCUCAUCCACUGGAAUACCUGCAAUUGACUCAUCCUUACUAUCACCAAGGAGGGAGGAUGAUGGAUACAUGUUAGUGCCCAUGCCAAGCCUUCGACCAGUCUCUUUGCCAAUAGCAAGUUGGUCACCAGUGAUCAUCUUAACAUUGACACCAAGGUCAAGGGCUCGACGAAUAGUCUCUGCACUGUCAUGCCUUGGAGGA
rnacentral:misc_RNA from 1 species